UUCAUCUAAAGUAAUUUAAUUGUAUUUUUACCCAUGUUGCUGUACGUGGACUCCCCACUGUGAGCAUUUAGGUGUUCAGAUCAUGUGACUGCCUUCAAGCACCCCUCCCCCUUCGUCCAAGUUGGUACAAACCAGGAAGUACAAGAAACCGAGAAAGCUUUGGUCCUGUUUUGGCAGUCGAAACAAGCAAACUGAGUAACAAGUGACAAGACUGCGAAAUCCACAGCACAUUGAACGCAUCGGUCGUAGUGAUAUUCUAACAAGGAACCAAAGCUGGAGAACGAGGAUCUGCUCAACGGAUCCAAGAGGAGACGGUGGACCACUGCAGCCAAGUGCAUGAAAAAUGAGUCACUCCAAGGCGUUUUCCCUGCAGAGUAAACCGUGCAGAAAGUGCCAUUCAUCAAGCAGCGGGGGCCAGAAUGUCGUCCUUAUCUGAUGCGCCGAGUAUGCGGAGGAAACUGGGGACUGUCAGUGACGGCUUGUGCAAAUCAGCCAAUCUGCUGUCCGGGAUCAGCGAGGAAGCCAGUGCACCUUAACUAGGAAGUACAAAGGCAAGUUUGAAUGUCACCUUCCUUGUAGUACCACGUUCUGCCACAAUGUUGCUGGGCAGCACUGAGCUAUACUAAAGCAGAAGAAGUAAGCUCCAGCAAUACUGUCCUAGAUGUUCCCACACAGUAGAAUAAAUAAAUGUCUGUAAGUAUUGUUGCACGCUCUGUUUGUAUUUGUUGAUGCUCCAUGUGUUUAAGUAGCCACUGUUUGAAAGUUUAGAAUUACCAUAACGUUAAUGCAAAUGUACGUUAGCCCAUCUAUGUCCUUUCUCAUUAUAUGUUAGCAUUGGUUCAUAAUUACUGCAACAUCGAUGCUAAUUUAUUUUAGCCCAUAUAUGGCGCUUGGCAUUAUGUGUUAGCAUUGAGCUAGCAGACUUUCGUUAGGUGAAAUUACACGCUUUGGUUGAACAUUUUAGCGUUUAUAUGUACAAUUUUUGCAUUUUUGUUUGUUUUAUAUGUUGGUUUUACAGUAAACCUCAACUGGGAGUGACCAAAACAAAAAACAGCUUUGGAGCAAGCACGCUUUGCCUCUAAUUUGAAGAACUGUGCGAGUGAGUCUUCUUUUCAUCUCUUCAAAGUGAUGUUAUACGAUAGUUUCCCAUUUCUUGACAGCAAGCGAGCGAGAACAGGAACUAAUGAAUGUCCAAAAAGUUUGUUUUAAUAAGUUGAAUGGUCUCUCCAUAUCGUGGAUUUUCGCCUAUUGCGAGUGGAUCAGGUACCCCGCGGUAAACGGGGUUCACUGCAUUACAGAGCUAAAUCAAAAGUGUCCACUAAAUGUACGUCCAAAGUAAUGUAUAGUGGACCCGAGUCAUUAGGAGCUGCAAAGAAGGGAGCGCUGAUGGCGCUGGUGAUGGUUUAUCUUGACCCUCUCUGAGUGGUACCCUCGGCCCACACACACACACGCACGCACACAAACACUCCCAUGAGGUCAAAUGUGCACGGGUGCUUUCAUCCCGUCCAGCCUCAACCAGAGAUGAAUGGACGCUUGCAUACAGCGACACAUAAAAGGUGUCAUGGCGGAAGCAGCACUCGGUCCGCACAGGCCAAACGAACGAUCCGGGAGCCGCAAAGUCAAACCGGGACCACCGCUGGGAUGUAAUUAAUGAGAAGGGAAAAGAAGCAUCUCGCUACAAUUGUUUUUUUCAUUUUUCUGAAACAUAACGAAAAGUGUGUUCAUUUUAAAUCAUAAAAUGUGGUGUUUCUUUACAUGUUUUUUUUUUUUUUUAAAUUGCACAGUGGCCAUCAAUGUUUAUGGUCACAUGGCAAUGAAAAAUAUCUUAUAAUAAUUUUGACCUUAAUCAUUUUGUUUUCGCCACUUUUCAUCCAAAAGACAAAGAAAAAAAAUGUUUUUGUUCUUCAGAUAUAAAAGUAUAAAAGAAAACGAGUUGGAAUUUGGAUGUUUUUAUUUGUAAAGUGACCAUAAUCUAAGCGUUACAUACUUUUCAUUUCACAGAGGCCAUGAAUGUGUAAAAUCAUGCAUCUCCAUUUUGUGAUGGUAAAAAAAAAUCAAAAUCACAAAAAAUGUAAAAAUCAGUAUUGACAAGUAGUAUUUUUGCUGCUGUUGUUUGGGAAUCCAAAAGUUUAGCGUUACAUGUCUCUCAUUGCAUCGCGAACAAUAAACUGAGCCAUGACUACCCAAUGAAAAAACAUAUCUCUAAUAAAUGUUUUAUUGCCCACAAAAAAAAGCCCGAUAUUUCAAUAAAACGUAUUUAAUUGUGUUUAAAAUGUAUUUUGAUUGUAACAAGCUAAUGCUAUUGUAGUUUGAAGCUCCUUUUUAGGCCUUGGUGCGUCUCGAUGUCAUCGUCUUCUUCUUCUUCUUUAGUUACAAACUAAUGAUCCUCUACUCAUUUGGAGCGACAUUCAUAAUCAAAGUCAGGCAAGAUAAAUGAUGUCCAUGUUGAUAUAUUUGAUAUUUUUCAGUGUUGUGGAUGAUCAGAUGAGAUCUGUUGGCAUCGAUGUCCCCCGGAAGGGUCACGUGGGGGUCUCACAUGGGGGUCUCGGCGCCAUUUGUUGCCGCUCGUCACGGUUUUGUUGUCAACGUCCGCUCGACUGGGGCAGUAAUACAUUUGUUCUUCUACGCCGAACAUUUUUUUGGUGAGCAUAUAUAAAAAAAAUGAUAUAAUGGUAUGAGAAUAAAGUCAAUUUGAAGACAUGAAAAAAAUAGAAAUUUAAAGUUAUGGGUUUAUGAGGAAAGGUUACAAUAGUCAGUCAUUUUUCAAUGCAUAUUCUGAGAAUGAGGUUUUAUAAGG